AUUGAACGCUGGCGGAAUGCUUUACACAUGCAAGUCGAACGGCAGCACGGACUUCGGUCUGGUGGCGAGUGGCGAACGGGUGAGUAAUGUAUCGGAACGUGCCCAGUCGUGGGGGAUAACGUAGUGAAAAUUACGCUAAUACCGCAUACGAUCUAUGGAUGAAAGCGGGGGAUCGCAAGACCUCGCGCGAUUGGAGCGGCCGAUAUCAGAUUAGGUAGUUGGUGGGGUAAAGGCCCACCAAGCCAACGAUCUGUAGCUGGUCUGAGAGGACGACCAGCCACGCGGAAACUGAGACACGGUCCAGACUCCUACGGGAGGCAGAAGUGGGGAAUUUUGGACAAUGGGCGAAAGCCUGAGCCAGCCAUUCCGCUUGCAGGAUGAAGACCCUCGGGUUGUAAACUGCUUUUGUACAGAACGAAAAGGUUUCUACUAAUACUAGGAGCUCAUGACGGUACUGUAAGAAUAAGCACCGGCUAACUACGUGCCAGCCGCCGCCGUAA
rnacentral:rRNA from 1 species